GCUGAUGAUAAUAGCUUGGAGGUCCCACCUGAUCCCUUCCCGAACUCAGAAGUGAAACUCCAAUGCGCCAAUGGUAGUGUGGUUCGCCCAUGUGAGAGUAGGUCAUCGUCAGCU
rnacentral:rRNA from 1 species